rnacentral:misc_RNA from 1 species
GAUGAAGAACGCAGCGAAAUGCGAUAAGUAAUGCGAAUUGCAGAAUUCCAGUGAGUCAUCGAAUCUUUGAACGCACAUUGCGCCCAUUGGUAUUCCGAUGGGCAUGCCUGUUCGAGCGUCAUUUCACCACUCAAGCCUGGCUUGGUGUUGGGCGACGUCCCCUUUGGGGACGCGCCUCGAAACGCUCGGCGGCGUGGCACCGGCUUUAAGCGUAGCAGAAUCUUUCGCUUUGGAAGUCGGGGCCCCGUCUGCCGGAAGACCUACUCGCAAGGUUGACCUCGGAUCAGGCAGGGAUACCCGCUGAACUUAAGCAUAUCAAUAAGCGGAGGA